CCGGAACUCAUGUGUUUAGGGUUACAUGCAGUCAGUUUGAUACUUAGCACACAUUGUUGAGUGCAUGCUGCCUAGGAUUUGUAAAAUACAUUGCAAAUGGUUGGUUUUGGUAUCAACUUGAAGGUAUAUUUGUAAGCAAUAAGAAAUUACGCCAUUUUUGUGCUCUACUUUUUGUGUUGAUGGUUCCAGGCUUUGAAAGUAGGUCAUACUAUUUGAGCCCAAAAUGGUUGUCUGCACAGCUGUCAAAACCGGUUUGCCUAUUCUAAGGCGGUGUCAAAAUGGGUCUAUAGCUCUGCCUGAACUGUCGUCCAAUUGGUUUACAAGUCCGGCUGAAGUGACAGGCCAUCAAAAACUGUACAGCGUGACUGAUUCGGAGACGGCCCUCAACACUCGCCCAGUCGUGUCGAGAGGAUCGGUGUCUUUGCAGAUUACACGGAAUUGAGCACCCGGGCCAGACUGACACUUUCCGGAGCCUGCCCGAGACGGAACUCGAGCCGAGGAAUCAUAGGUCCAGGUGUGACAAAAGACUUAAAGCUCAUGUCUGACGAUGACUUUUUUUAGUCAGGAAGUCAAGUGUGUUGUUUUUCCAUGCAAGCGGUCCCUUUUGUUGGGUCAAAUGACAUCAGAAUUGCUGCUUCUACAUGGAUUUUACCUAAAAUGUGCAAAAAAAAUAAAAAAAAGUUUGUUCGGA